ensembl:snRNA U6 U6 spliceosomal RNA
GUGCUCGCUUCGGCAGCACAUACACUAACACUGGAACAAUGCAGAGGAGGUUAGCUUGGCCCCUGCAUAAGGAUGACAUGCAAUUUCAUGAAGCAUUCCAUAUUUAU